GAUGAAAAGCAAAGUGAAGUCUGUGAUUGUACCUACUUGGAGGUGAACCAAAAUAAGUGCAUCAUAGCUGUUGGAUGGGACAGAAGAAUAAAUGUGUAUUUUGAUGCACCAUGUGACUUUCAUCACUUCUGGAAGCCGCAGCCACACUGGCAGGAUGACCUGGUGAGCCCUGGUCCACACUGUCUGGCUCUCAACCCAAACAGUGGCACAUGUUGAGGAUAUCUGUCACUCAGAGGCUCACCCUGACUCUCCUGGGCCUGCCUAGGGUUGUCACAAGGACCUCAAAAGCCUCUGCUGUGGCAGGAAUCAUGACUGGGGUCCAGGUAGAGCCAGAAGUACUGGGCUCCAGGCAGCUGCUUCCCCUCCAGGAAGAGUGAUGGCCUUGUGUUCAGAUUGGGGCAUGGGGCUACGGAAGCCAAUCCAUGCAGCUCUCCAUGAGCUCAGCCAGGAUUCAUGUAGUACAGGAAUGCCAGCCCAAGAUGUGGUGGGUGUGACUUUCCUGAAAGAAGCAUGUACUUCCUAUUUCUGCUUGGCAUGCAAAAUUGUAUGCAUUUGCUGUGUCACCUUUGGGCAGCCAGGGAACCGAAGAGAUGACAUUCCUGCCCUGUGGCUUGUUGGGGGCCCACAACCGGGAUACUUCUUGUGAUUCUUAUUAGCAAAGUGCCCCAACUUUCUGCAGCCUCCUAUGGUUGAAUGACCUCCCUCAGAAUUGUCUGGAUGCCAAGCCAAUAAGACAAGUGCUAAGAAAGCAAAGUCACUGUGCCCAACCGUGUGCUACAGCUCAACCCUACCUUAAACCCCCAUAAACAUUCCAAAAGGUACAAGUCACUAGAAUACAAACUCCAUGAGGCCAGGCCUUGUCUGCCUUCACCAUGGUAUUCCCAGGACCUAGCCCAGUGCCCACUUUAUAGCAAUGCCUAAUUAAUUUGAUUCCAUUCAACUAGCAUAUGCCAAGUGCAGAUUGUGGACCAAGUGUGCUUUGUUCACUGAAGAUGAAGUUAUGAUCAAAAGGGUCAUCUCAUGAUCUCUGCCUUCCCGGAGUUCGCAGAUUAGUGAUUAUUGAGUGAAAGAACAAAGUUGUGCAGAAAAUGCCUGGAAGUGAAGGUCAUUGCAAGGAGGCAUUGUCAGGCAAGUCAGUGAAGUGUUAGUGCAUUCAAAUAUUUAUUUAUUCAACUAUUAACUCACUCAACACAUAUUUUGGGGCACUUUUAUAGUGUCAUGCUUAAUGGAUAGGGCCAGGAGAUACAACGUGAAUAAAAUGUGAUUCCUGGGGUGCCUGGGUGGCCCAGUCGGUUGAGCGUCCGACUUUGGCGCAGGUCAUGAUCUCACGGUUCGUGGGUUCGAGCCCCACAUCGAUCUCUGUGCUGACAGCUCAGAGCCUGGAGCCUACUUCGGAUUCUGUGUCUCCCCCUCUCUCUGCCCCUCCCCUGCUCAUGCUCUGUCUCUCAAGGAUAAAUAAAC